CAGAGAGUAGUUUAUUUAAAAUAUUAAUUUUGGAGGUUAAUGAUGUAUAUAAUUAUACCUCUCUGA
rnacentral:tRNA from 1 species